CCACCACCAACUUACGGAACAAUUAAAAAACAACUGAAGAACAAUUUAUUCAUGAGAAAGAAGGAUCGCCUCAUCUUUUCCUGUCAUCCAGCUGAAUUGGCUCCAUUUGGAGUGGGGGGAAGAUCAAAGAGGAGCAACUUUGUAAAUUGAGGAAUAUCAACAGGCGUCCACUGACGCCUGAAGAAGACGUGGAAAUGCUUUGCACACGCCGAG